rnacentral:rRNA from 1 species
GACGAACGCUGGCGGCGUGCCUAAUACAUGCAAGUAGAACGCACAGUUUAUACCGUAGCUUGCUACACCAUAGACUGUGAGUUGCGAACGGGUGAGUAACGCGUAGGUAACCUGCCUGGUAGCGGGGGAUAACUAUUGGAAACGAUAGCCAAUACCGCAUAAUAUUGAUUAUUGCAUGAUAAUUGAUUGAAAGAUGCUAUUGCAUCACUACCAGAUGGACCUGCGUUGUAUUAGCUAGUAGGUGAGGUAACGGCUCACCUAGGCGACGAUACAUAGCCGACCUGAGAGGGUGAUCGGCCACACUGGGACUGAGACACGGCCCAGACUCCUACGGGAGGCAGCAGUAGGGAAUCUUCGGCAAUGGACGAAAGUCUGACCGAGCAACGCCGCGUGAGUGAAGAAGGUUUUCGGAUCGUAAAGCUCUGUUGUAAGAGAAGAACGGGUGUGAGAGUGGAAAGUUCACACUGUGACGGUAUCUUACCAGAAAGGGACGGCUAACUACGUG